CAUUCUUCAAACCCUCAAGGAACCCCCACACUUAACCAGCCUUACUAGGGCAGAGAAAAUAAAAGGACACUUCCAGCCUGUGUGGAACACAGGCUUGAACAUGUGGGGCUGGGCUGGCAAGUAUUAAAGGGUAAUGGUGUGUGAGACCUGCUGUGGUUGAGUAACACACAAGGUCUUUGGGAGUCGGGAAAAGCACAACUUGGGUUAGGUGGUGUCUAAGGAGGGAGGUUGAAAAGAUAGUCUGGGAUCAUAUUGGAGAGUAACUUCCAAUGUUCUGUAUUUCCAUGCUUCAGAUGAGUGCCUCUUGAUGGAGGAAGAGAAGGUAUUGGGCCAGAAACAAUGGUGUGAGAAGCUCAUCAACACUCUGGAUCAGAGGAGAAGCACGUAAAGAAGAAAGAAGUUUCGGUAUCAAGAGAUCUCCAUAAAAACCAUGGAGUUAAUUGAUUUACGUUGCCCCUUCUGGCACCAGUCAGUAGGCCUACUUGGCUCUGUCUAGGUCCACUGGAGCUGCCCUAUUAAAGUUCAGAAUUCUGUUUAUUUGUCAACUUGUCUUUGAGUCAUCAACUCUUUGGUAAUCGGGACUCUGGGUACUAAAUUUAAAAAUAAAAUAAAGGACUGUACUAAACCUCA